GACGAACGCUGGCGGCGUGCUUAACACAUGCAAGUCGAACGGAAAGGCCCCCUUGUGGGGUACUCGAGUGGCGAACGGGUGAGUAACACGUGAGUAACCUACCCUUGACUUUGGGAUAACUUCAGGAAACUGGGGCUAAUACCGGAUAGGAGCUCCUGCUGCAUGGUGGGGGUUGGAAAGUUUCGGCGGUUGGGGAUGGACUCGCGGCUUAUCAGCUUGUUGGUGGGGUAGUGGCUCACCAAGGCUUUGACGGGUAGCCGGCCUGAGAGGGUGACCGGCCACAUUGGGACUGGGAUACGGCCCAGCCUCCUACGGGAGGCAGCAGUGGGGAAUAUUGCACAAUGGGCGGAAGCCUGAUGCAGCAACGCCGCGUGCGGGAUGACGGCCUUCGGGUUGUAAACCGCUUUCGCCUGUGACGAAGCGUGAGUGACGGUAAUGGGUAAAGAAGCACCGGCUAACUACGUG
rnacentral:rRNA from 1 species